rfam:Macleaya cordata isolate BLH2017 scaffold7679, whole genome shotgun sequence.
GAGUGCGAUCGUACCAGCACUAAUGCACCGGAUCCCAUCAGAACUACGCAGUCAAGCGUGCCUUGGCGAAAGUAGUACUAGGAUGGGUGACCUCUUGGGAAGUCCUCGUGUUGCACCCU